AUGGUGUCAGGUUCAGGAACCUCCGCAAGGAGUAUAGUGGUUGAUGCUCGUCACCAUAUACUUGGUAGGCUUUCAUCAAUUUUGGCCAAGAAACUGCUUUAUGGACAGAAAGUUGUUGUUGUUAGGUGAAGAGAUUUGUCUUUCUGGUGGACUCGUUCGUCAGAAAAUGAAGUAUCUUAGGUUCCUUCGUAAUAGGAUGAAUACUAAGCCUUCUCAUGGACCUAUUCACUUUCGUGCUCCUUCUAAGAUCCUCAAGAGAACCAUCCGUGGGAUGAUUCCCCACAAAACUAAGCGUGGAGCAGCUGCUCUUGACCGCUUGAAGGUUUAUGAAGGUGUUCCACCUUCAUAUGACAAAAUCAAGAGGAUGGUCAUCCCUGAUGCCCUCAAGGUGUUGAGACUCCAAGCAGGACAUGAAUACUGUCUCUUGGGUAGGCUUUCAUUAGAGGUUGGAUGGAACCAUUAUGACACUAUCAAGGAGCUUGAGAACAAGAGAAAGUAUAGAGCCCAUGUAGCAUAUAAGAGGAGAAAGCAUUUGGCCAAACUUACGGUUAAGGCCGAGAAGGCUGCUGAGGAGAAGCUCGGUCCUCAACUUGCUGUUGUUGAACCCAUCAAAUAUUAGAGUGUAAACGUAGUUUAUAUAAGGUAAAAUUUUGUUGGAGAUUGAGAUUUCAACUUA